rnacentral:rRNA from 1 species
GGUGUAGGUGGCUUUGUAAGUCAGGUGUGAAAUCCCAGGGCUCAACCCUGGAAGUGCAUUUGAUACUGCGAAGCUUGAGUGUGGUAGAGGUUAGUGGAAUUCCUGGUGUAGUGGUGAAAUACGUAGAUAUCAGGAGGAAUACCGGAGGCGAAGGCGGCUAACUGGACCAACACUGACACUGAGACCCGAAAGCGUGGGGAUCAAACA